GAUCUAUUUCCUAGGUCAAUCCUCAGGACGCCCCAGCGGCGAGAGCCCUUCGCCAUCGCCGAGAUCCAAGAGGAGCCGCCGCCACCGAGGUCCGGGAGGAGCCGCCGCCGCACCGUCUUCCUCCUCCGCCGACCUCUGAGGCACCCUACUCGUGGGAUGCCGCCGCCUCGCGGAACCUGAGGGCAGGGCAGAGCGUGAUCGUGUUGCGGUCGAGGUCCAAGAUCGCUGCCGCCGAGGUCCGAGAUCGCCGCCAUCGACCUUUGAGAUCGCCAUCCCUCUCUAUUUCUGGCUCGCUGGCCUCUCUCCCUUUUCCCAAUAUCUCUCUUUUGUGCGCGUGCAUCGCUGCCGGCAUCCACUACCGGCCGCCCCCGCCGUCGAUUGGUGCCCCCAUGGCGCUACUGACUCCGAAGAGAUCUCCUAUUUCCAACAUAUGCAGCCGCCUCGCUGUUCUAGCCCCAUGUGCGGCCCCGUGGCUAACCCUAGCCACCUCUAUCUCCGACGGUGGCGCCUCCUCUUCCUCUUGCAGUCCUGUCCUCCUCCUUGCUGGUGCUCCACAUGUAUAUCCGACGGUGACAGUGACCGACAGUCUAUGGGCCUACCAGAGGGCGCGGCAGGCGACAGCACAAGGCCGCUCGCAGCAGGGCACGUGGUCGAUGCUCACGACAAUGGUGGGCGUGAGCAUGGCACAGGCAGCAGCCAGGUGCGUGCGGGUGGUAGCCGGCGAGGACACGUUGAUGUUCAUCUGGGCCACACGUUGAGUAUUCUCUGUUUAUGUGAAUAGAUGCAUCAGCCAUAAGGCUGCACCAUCUCCAAGUAUUUGUGGGUCAAUCACAGUGCAGGAUAGAUACCAGUCCUCCUCUUUGCAGUUAAUUAAAUAGAUCUGUUAGCUGGUAGCUACGCAAAUGAUCACAAAGAGAAGACUACCGCUGGUUCAAAUGCUCUCUCCUCUUUACAGUUAAUUAAAUACAUCUGUUAGCUUCUUAACUACUACAACUUAUUGUAUCACCGACCGGUUACUUUGGGUGAAUUGGGCAGAACAAAUUACGCCAUGUAUCCUCCAUCUCAUUUUGUUCAACGCUUGUGCUUUUCAUAAUUGGGAGUCUCCAAGUUUUGAUUCCAUUUAUUAGAAUGAUUGCUACUAUCUGCUUGAUGAAUGGAAUGUGAAGAUUGUAUAAAACAGUAGGAUUUUCAGUUUGUAUGCUCGUCCAGUAACUGAGUUUUUACAGGUUUCAUGAUACAGUAAUUGUGCAAAUGUAUUAGACUUUCUAAUUACUUUUGCAGUGCCAUUUAAUUGUUAAACUUUCUAAUGGCCAUGCUUCUCAGAUCCCAGGCAUGGAGAACUCCAAGGAGUUUGCUGACAAGCUGUUCGGGAUAAGUUGAGGCAGAGGAACAUUGAGCCGGAUGAAGGCAUUAACAAGGAUUGGCUCAGAGAGGUGAAACAUGAACAUUGAUGGGAUGCUCACAGAAGAUGAGGUCAAGAAGGUGGCUCGCAAAUGAUCACAAAGAGAAGACUACCGAUGGGCCUUUUGAUCGACCACACGAUUCAAAAAGCUCUUUAGUGCAGUUUGCAACAACAAAAAUCAGAAGAUUGGUCAUUUGUAAGGGUGGAUAUCUCAGAGGCGGCAGCCACCCAGAUUGGAAUUUAAUUUCAAUCUAUUUCCCUGUCUGAAGUUUCAUACUAGAUGAGUUGCAAGUGGUACUAUGUUCCUACGCUGCGUUGACCCGAGCAGUUGCGAGAGCGAAUGAAGCUGUGGUUGCAUGGACAAGCUUGUGGAGGUGUCAGUAUGCACGCAUGUGGCCCUGAUUUGGAGAACGCCUCUGGCCUGGUAGGAUUCUUGCUCUGCCUCGACCUCAAGGGCGUUCAUCUAUCUGUGUCGUGCUCGGGACGAUGCACUAAUGCAGGUGUGGUUAUUUAGCUUUUCUUUGUCUUUUUCUUGGUAUGUAUAUCUCUGAAUCUUGUGAGCCGUGAUUUUCAUGCUGCCAUGUAUGCCAUUGUGUCCUGUAUAAUGAUUCUUCUUAUUAUUUUUUAAUGGCAUAAUUAUUCUUAUUGAGGCACUGCCGCUGCCUAAUUUGCUUAUAGAAAUAACAUACUAAUUAAUAUAGGGAGAGAGUAUGAUUUUUGACACAAUCUGCAGUACCCGUGAGCCUGCCCAUAGGUAGAUAUGGAUACAUUUUGUAGCUUCCAUUCUUCUUUUCUCUCAUUGAAAUUAUGGUUUUGGAAACUAAUCAUGGAGUGUCUAGAUUGCCUGCUAUAUUGCCAAGUGCGCUGAAGGAAUAGCUGUUGCCACUGUUGAUGACCACUCUAGGUGAUAUAAUUCAUGUUUGCUUUGUUGUUUCAGUAACUUCCUGUAGCAUAUUGGUUCCAUCUUUUUUUGCAUCAUGGUACAUUAUUCUCAUCUUGAUAUAUAUCAUUUGGUCAACUGAAGAUUUGAGUGCAGGGUAGAAUUCUUGGUUGAUUUUAGAAUUUCGUUGUUGAUUAGUUGGCCAACAGACUUUUAUGAAAUUCAAGGCGUCAUUUAGUGUACUAUAUGUCAUAUUUGUCUUAUUUCUAUACUCACAAUAUUUCCGCAUCAUCUGAACAAAUGAUGCUAAAUUGAUAUAAUCAUUUUGGAUCAGUGUCAUCUUCUCAAUGCUGAACAACCAAAAUAUAUACAUAGUGAGAAGUCCGCCGCACAUGCUCAUACGUCAUAUUUAUGUACUGUUUAACAUGGCAAAAAUUGGUCAAACAUUUAAAUAUUUCUACUGUUUAACACAACCAAAGUAUAUACAUAAUGACCAGUCCUCUGCUGCAUGUUAGAUCCAACCUCCCUCCCUUGACACCGUUAUUCUUACUUAUUAUUAUUUCUUUUAAAAAUAUAUUUAGUUUUAUUUUCUAGCUACUUCAAUUCAUUCGUAUAUGGUUAGUUCCAUCGCACUUCGAGGAUGAUCCGUGGCUGGCCGCAGACGAUCACCUGCGAGGAGGAUUCAUGGCCGGUUGGGGAUAGUCAAUUCCAUCACACUGCGAGGAGAUGAUUCAUGUCCGGUCGGGGAUGGUCACCUGCGCCCGAAGGCCAACCUUAAUACUGGACCUUGAGAGGGGCAUGUGGCCAACCAUGUCGGAGGACACAGAGGAGUUGUUUGGGAAUGUUAUCAUCAGAGGACCCAAGAAGGAGCCCACCACGGAUGCAUGGACCAACCACGCAAGUCCAUUGUGAGUUUGAUGCUUCUCAUGUUUUCACUGUGGUGCAAUGAAGAUCUGAUGGGCAAUGGUCUCGUGACAUUUCCUUUCUGAAAACUUAAAUGUAUAGCUUGCAAUCCAUCUGUGGCAAGGGUUCAUGUCAGACAUGCCAAUAGAUUUGGGGGUCCACUUCCCAGUGAAACAAAUGUUCAUUGCGGACAAUACAAAGACGAUGAUUGGUACAAUGAUGUGAAUAUACUAGAAUCUUUAUUCUUCUCUCUUCA